rnacentral:tRNA from 1 species
UAAGUGAAAGCCAAAGGGGAGGCGCCUAGCUGUUAAUUAGGAGAUUGUAGUGCUUAAGCUACUCAUUUAG